GGCCGCCUGCGAAUAGCGUUAGGACGGCGCCCGCCCGUGUAGAGCGUCAAGAUGGCGGCCACCCGGGUAGAGCGUCAAGACGGCGCCAGCCAUCGUAAAGCGUCAAGAUGGCGGCCGCUCGCGUAUAGCGUCAAUACGGCGCCGGCCUGCGUAGAGCGUCAAGAUGGCGGCCACCCGGGUGGAGAGUCAAGACGGCGACCGCCCCGGUAGAGAAUCAAGACGGCGCCAGCCCGCGUAGAAGGUCAAGAUGGUGCUCACCCGGGAAGAGAGGCUGUGGCCAGCCUGUGGCGCCGUGUGUGUCCUGGCUCGGGUGCCGGCCCCUCGGACUGAGCCCGGCGGGUGAGCCUCGUCCGCGGAGAGUCCCGGCGCUCCUGGAUCGGCGGCCGUGUCGGUUCCGAAAGCAACGGAAGCUGCUGCUGUUGCUUCAGAGUGCGUCUCCUGUGUUCCUUGUGAGAAGAAGCCUGCUGGUGCUGGAGUCUCAAAGCUCCAGGCAUCGGGUGCACCACCUUGGUAUUUGGAAGAUGAAACUGUGG